GGACGAAAAAAGACGGUACCUGAGGAGGAAGCUCCGGCUAACUACGUGCCAGCAGCCGCGGUAAUACGUAGGGAGCGAGCGUUGUCCGGAAUUACUGGGUGUAAAGGGAGCGUAGGCGGGAUCGCAAGUCAGAUGUGAAAACUAUGGGCUUAACCCAUAAACUGCAUUUGAAACUGUGGUUCUUGAGUGAAGUAGAGGUAAGCGGAAUUCCUAGUGUAGCGGUGAAAUGCGUAGAUAUUAGGAGGAACAUCAGUGGCGAAGGCGGCUUACUGGGCUUUAACUGACGCUGAGGCUCGAAAGCGUGGGGAGCAAACAGGAUUAGAUACCCUGGUAGUCCACGCCCGUAAACGAUGAUUACUAGGGGGGGGGGGACUGACCCCUUCCGUGCCGCAGCAAACGCAAUAAGUAAUCCACCUGGGGAGUACGACCGCAAGGUUGAAACUCAAAGGAAUUGACGGGGGCCCGCACAAGCAGUGGAGUAUGUGGAUUAAUUCGAAGCAACGCGAAGAACCUUACCAGGUCUUGACAUCGUAUGCAUAGCUCAGAGAUGAGUGAAAUCUCUUCGGAGACAUAUAGACAGGUGGUGCAUGGUUGUCGUCAGCUCGUGUCGUGAGAUGUUGGGUUAAGUCCCGCAACGAGCGCAACCCUUACUGUUAGUUGCUACGCAAGAGCACUCUAGCAGGACUGCCGUUGACAAAACGGAGGAAGGUGGGGAUGACGUCAAAUCAUCAUGCCCCUUAUGACCUGGGCCUCACACGUACUACAAUGGCUGUCAACAGAGGGAAGCAAAGCCGCGAGGUGGAGCAAACCCCUAAAAGCAGUCUUAGUUCGGAUUGUAGGCUGCGACCCGCCUACAUGAAGUCGGAAUUGCUAGUAAUCGCAGAUCAGCAUGCUGCGGUGAAUACGUUCCCGGGCCUUGCACU
rnacentral:rRNA from 1 species